CCUACGGGAGACAGCAGUGGGGAAUAUUGGGCAAUGGGCGCAAGCCUGACCCAGCAAUGCCGCGUGAAGGAAGAAGGCUUUCGGGUUGUAAACUUCUUUGACAGGGGAAGAGCAGAAGACGGUACCCUGAAUACAAGCCACAGCUAACUACGUGCCAGAAGCCGCGGUAAUACGUAGGGGGCAAGCGUUGUCCUGAAUUACUGGGUGUAAAGGGCGUGUAUCCGGGAAGGCAAGUCAGAUGUGAAAUCUCGAGGCUCAACCUCCGAAUUGCAUUUGAAACUGUUUAUCUUGAGUACUGGAGAGGCAAACGGAAUUCCAUGUGUAGCGGUGAAAUGCGUAGAUAUAAGGAGGAACACCAGUGGCGAAGGCGGUCUGCUGGACAGCAACUGACGGUGAGGCGCGAAAGCGUGGGGAGCAAACAGGAUUAGAUACCCCUGUAGUC
rnacentral:rRNA from 1 species